rnacentral:misc_RNA from 1 species
GUGAAGAACGUAGCGAAAUGCGAUAAGUAAUGCGAAUUGCAGAAUUUCCGUGAGUCAUCGAAUCUUUGAACGCACAUUGCGCCCACUGGUAUUCCGGUGGGCAUGCCUGUUCGAGCGUCAUUAUCCUCCCUCAAACCCCGGGUUUGGUGUUGGACCCAAGUUGUGUGAACAACUGGUCUCAAAGACAAUGACGGCGUCCGUGGGACCCUCGGUGCAACGAGCUUUUAGGAGCACGCAUCGAGUUGCAAGGACCUUCCGGGCCGGUCUCCUUUACCAUUUUACAAGGUUGACCUCGGAUCAGGUAGGAAUACCCGCUGAACUUAAGCAUAUCAAUAAGCGGAGGA